rnacentral:rRNA from 1 species
GACGAACGCUGGCGGCGUGCCUAACACAUGCAAGUCGAGCGAGUGAAUCUCCUUCGGGAGUGAAGCUAGCGGCGGACGGGUGAGUAACACGUGGGCAACCUGCCUCAUAGAGGGGAAUAGCCUUCCGAAAGGAAGAUUAAUACCGCAUAAGAUUGUAGCUUCGCAUCAAGUAGCAAUUAAAGGAGCAAUCCGCUAUGAGAUGGGACCGCGGCGCAUUAGCUAAUUGGUGAGGUAACGGCUCACCAAGGCGACGAUGCGUAGCCGACCUGAGAGGGUGAUCGGCCACAUUGGGACUGAGACACGGCCCAGACUCCUACGGGAGGCAGCAGUGGGGAAUAUUGCACAAUGGGGGAAACCCUGAUGCAGCAACGCCGCGUGGGUGAUGACGGCCUUCGGGUUGUAAAGCUCUGUCUUCAGGGACGAUAAUGACGGUACCUGAGGAGGAAGCCACGGCUAACUACGUGCCAGCAGCCGCCGUAA